rnacentral:rRNA from 1 species
UACGGAGGAUCCGAGCGUUAUCCGGAUUUAUUGGGUUUAAAGGGAGCGUAGGUGGAUUGUUAAGUCAGUUGUGAAAGUUUGCGGCUCAACCGUAAAAUUGCAGUUGAAACUGGCAGUCUUGAGUACAGUAGAGGUGGGCGGAAUUCGUGGUGUAGCGGUGAAAUGCUUAGAUAUUACGAAGAACUCCGAUUGCGAAGGCAGCUCACUGGACUGCAACUGACACUGAGGCUCGAAAGUGUGGGUAUCAAACAGG